AACAAAAUAUAAAAAAGGGUCUCAUUAUUUUAUUAUUUUGAUACAUCAUACAUGGAUCCAUUGAAACAUAUAGCUAGGUACAUCACUAGACCUGCAUAGCCAUGAUCUAGGUAGCUCUGCUUGGAGUAAGAGACAAUGAACCCAUUGAGACCCCUAGAAAGAAAGAAA